UGGUGCCUACGGGACGCAGCAGUGGGGAAUAUUGGACAAUGGGGGGAACCCUGAUCCAGCGACGCCGCGUGAGUGAAGAAGUAUUUCGGUAUGUAAAGCUCUAUCAGCAGGGAAGAAAAUGACGGUACCUGACUAAGAAGCCCCGGCUAACUACGUGCCAGCAGCCGCGGUAAUACGGAGGAUGCGAGCGUUAUCCGGAUUUAUUGGGUUUAAAGGGUGCGCAGGCGGUCUGUUAAGUCAGCGGUCAAAGCCCGGGGCUCAACCCCGGCCCGCCGUUGAAACUGGCAGUCUCGAGUUGGAGAGAA
rnacentral:rRNA from 1 species